rnacentral:rRNA from 1 species
UACGUAGGGGGCUAGCGUUGUCCGGAAUCAUUGGGCGUAAAGAGCGUGUAGGCGGCCCGGUAAGUCCGCUGUGAAAGUCCAGGGCUCAACCCUGGGAUGCCGGUGGAUACUGUCGGGCUCGAGUCCGGAAGAGGUGAGUGGAACUCCGAGUGUAGAGGUGAAAUUCGUAGAUAUUCGGAAGAACACCAGUGGCGAAGGCGGCUCACUGGUCCGGUACUGACGCUGAGGUGCGAAAGCGUGGGGAGCAAACAGGG